AACACCAACUGCAGAACAACUUCAGCUCUUUGAGUCAGAAGAAACUGGAGCUGGAGACCAGAAGUCAAAGAUCUCACUGAUGAGAAAGACCAGUUACAGAGAGAUUUUGACUCUUUGAAUAAGAAGGGCCCAGUUUGUUUUUUCGUGUCCUCUGAGUUGAAGAGCUGGUCUGACAGCAGACAGUACUGCAGGGAUCGUGGUGCUGAUCUGGUCAUUGUCAACACUGAAGAGAAGCAAAGGUUCAUAUCUUCAUUAGUCAAGGA